rnacentral:lncRNA from 10 species
UGAUUGGUAACAUUUCUCACCCCAUACCAUUUAAGUACAAGAUGUCCUUGACUCUUCAUCAACUGCUACAUUAAUAAUGAACAUAACCCUGGGAAAUUUGGGGAUUUCAUAUGGUGCGAAGAGAGGUCACUUUGAGGUAUUCAGCUGGUGGAUGGCUUCUCUUACAUGUCCCCUUGGCAGGGAUCACUAGAAGUCUGGCUCAGCUGGGGCUAUUCACCAUGGUGGCUACAUAAUGGCUUCUCCAGUAUGGUGAUUUCAGGUUAGUUGAAUUUUUACAUUAUAGCUCAAGACUAGCAAACAUAGUGUUUGAAGAAGCUUGAGUGGAAGCUUCAAGACUUAUGACCAAGAUUAGAAGUCCUGGAAUGUCACUUCUACCAUUUUCUACUGCUCAAGAAAGUCACUAAGACCAGCCCAAAUCCAAGGAGAGAGGAAUUAGAUUUCAACUCUCAACAGGAGAAGUACCAUACUAAAGACUAUAUGACCAUCUUUGGCCUGAAGUUUCUCACUCAUUAACCUGGAGCAACAAAAUGGAAAGAAUUCUGAUGACAAAGUAGAGAACCUGUCCCUUUGCUGGCUCUGAGGAUGACUGACUGUUGUGUGGGUGAGGUCUGCAGACAGAAGCCAGCUCUGCUCUCUCCAUUGUUGAAAUGGAUUCUGACUCUCCAAAUCUUGGCCCAAAUACUGAGCUGAUCUUUCCUGCCCUAAUUCCAGUAGAAUGGCACCUGACACAAUACUUUUGUGGAAGAGUACAUCACAUGAAAUGAAAACUAUAGAGAUGAACUAGAGAGACAAUGGAAUACUGUCCUUUGGCUGAGUCCUGCUGAAACCUGGUGGUGACACACAGAAGCAGGGUGAAUAUUCAAGAAAUACUGUUAAAUCACAAACUACUCAGAUGCAAACACAAGAGUGCAUGCUGGAACUGGCUUAUGAAACACAAGCCAGCUGGCUGCCCUAGAAAAAGUCUGAGGAAAAAGCCUUCUUCAUCUAAUUCAUAAAUGGGAAAUUGAAUUUCCAGGCUUAGCUGGCUUAUUUUUAUCUUCUUUUGUUUGUUUGAACUAUGUAUUGCUGAAUAACUGUGACAACAUUGAAAAGAGGGUUCAUGAGUAAAGCAAGAGUUGAUCUUUCACAAAUCAGUGCUAUAAUCAUUUCUAUGGGAGAGGCUACAGAUGAUUCCAUGCAGGGAGCACUCUGUAUGAAUGAUGUGGCCUCAGGCUAGAACACUUGAAAAGCAGCAAAGGAAAACUUUCUGCCCAACUUAUUAGAGGGGUGUGUGUGUGUGUGUGUGUGUGUAUCUCACAUGAAUAUAUUAUACAUAUGUAUAUAUAACAUAUAUAUAUAUACACACACACACCACUGGUGUUUAUUUUCACAUGCUUUUUUAUUUUUAUUUUAUUUUAUUUUUAAAAUAGAGACAGUGUCUUUCUCCGUCACCCAGGCUGGAAUGCAGUGAUGUAAUCAUGGCUCACUGAAGCCUCGAACUUGAACUCCUGGGCUCAAACGAUCCUCCUGCCUUAGCCUCUUGAGUAGCUAGGACUAUAGCCACAUCCUACUAGGUCCAACUAAUUUUAAUUAUUUUUUGUGUGUGGAGAUGGUGGGGGCGGGGUGUCUCUCUAUGUUUCCCAGGCUGGUCUUGAACUCCUGGCCUCCAGCAAUCCUUCUGCCUUGAGCUCCCAAAGUGCUGGGAUCAUAGGCAUGAGCCACCGUACCCAGCCUAGUUUCACACUUUUAUACACUCUCCCAAGUAUCACAGGGCUGGAAGCACUUUGAUUUUGGUGUAUUGGGUAUAAUUUAUGUUCUGUCAAUGAAAUGCAAUCAUGCAAUAUUCCAAAGGCAGAAUAGAGGCUCAGAGAACCCAUAUGUUAAAAAAAAUUAUUCCUUUGACAGAUAAAUAACACUUUUUCUAAUUUAUUGAUUUUGUAAAUUUGGAAUUGUGAAGAAUCUCCCCUCCCCCAAGAAAAACCUGUUUGUUCAGCAUUCCUUGCAAUGAUUGAAUCCUUUACCAGACAAACAAGAUGAAUGAAUUAUCUUUUCUUCUUUUCCUUUGGCUUACUUUUUCUGUGACAUUGUUUGAGAGACUGAGCACAGUAUUUUGAAACAGAUGACAGGGUUGUCACCUUUGAGUGGCACAAAUUUAGUAGCAACAGUAGGGCGUUUUAUGACAAUUUCUUUACAGUAUGAAAUCCAAAAGUUAUUCUCUGUGCCUUCAUGAGGAAAUGACAUUGAGUGGCAAUAUUUAAGAUGGUGAUUGGGAGGAAAGGCGAGUGUGAGAAGGGCAGCCUAAUUUUCAUGAAAUGAAACAGCCCUAGACUUGCAAAAUGAUAAUCGUAUUACUGAACAAUGUGAUGAUUCUCUCACAUGAAUUGUUCACUUCCAGGAGGCAUUCAAUCAGGCAAGCUAUCAAGAAGAUCUGGCCUUUGAUAAACACAUCCACUUUAAUAGCAGUUCCCGAGAUGAAAUGUUUGGAUUUAUGGCACCCAAUCACUGCAGCUUGAAAAUAUGAAAUAACUUGCUAGUGAACUGCCAUGAAAACCAUUACAUUAUGCUAGGGUCUUCCUUUUAGUAAGAUAUGGGAUGUUAUUAAUUGAUUAAUCUCCCUCCCUAUUCUUAAAAAUGAUUUAAGGAGGGUGGCCAUUUGCUACGAUGGAAAAGUACGGCUUCCUGGUCUGAUAUAAAAUGAGAAAUUGCCCAAGAUGAGCUCUAAGAUGUCUUCUACAUAACAUCUUCUAUGAUACAAUUUUUGGGAGUCUGUCCUUCAAAACUUCAUUACAAGGGGUCAUAUUAAGAUGAACUCUUAAUAAUAAGCCUCCUUAUGUGGGGCUCACAGAGACCUAGAUUCGUCCUAGAAUCCACUGGGAUUUGAACUGUCAUGAUUCUGAAGCUUACAUGGAUCCACAGAGUUGAUGUCAACUUAAUUCCUUGGAAAAUUAGGAGACAAAGAUUUGUUCUCUGUUCUUAUUCCUAACUUGGUGAGUUCCACUAAUGGUUGCUACCUUUCAGAGGCACAGACUUUGUAAUAACAGGGGAUGGCGCAUUACAAUUUCUAUGUUACACAAAUUCUAAAAUUAAGUUUAGUGAUUGGGAGGGAAGGUGAUUGAGAAAAGUAUACUUUUCAACUAAUGAAACAACAUUUAACUUCUGAGAAGGUACUUGUUGUAUUACUUAGCAAUGUGGAGUUUCAUCCCAGGCUGAAUAGAUUUCAAGGCAAACGGUGUCAGUUAUAAUAAUGCUGAGAAUUUUUUCUGGCCAAUGUUAUAUAAGAAAAGGUUUUAUUAAAGAAAGUUUAAGCAGCAUGAUUCAUAACAGCCAAAAAGCGGAAGCAACCCAAGUGUCCACAGCCAGAUCAAUGAAUAAACAAAAUGUGUUAUAUCCAUAAGAUGAAAUAUUUUUCAGCCUUAAAAGGAAGGAAAUUCUGACACAUGUUGAAAUGCUACAACAUGAAUGAAACUUGAAGGCAUGCAAUGUGAAACCAGACACAAAAGGACAAAUACUAUAUAAUUUCAUUGAUUUGAGGUACCUAGAAUAGUGAAAUUCAUAGAGAUAGAAAGUAGAAUGGAGGUGGCCAUGGGUUUGGGGAGUGGGGAAUGGGGAGUUAUUGUUUAAAGGCUACAGAGUUGCAGUUUGGAAAGAUGAAAAAGUUCUUCCCAAAGUUUUGGGAUGGUGGAUAGUGGUGAUGAAUGUACUAAAAGCCACAAAACCACACACUUACAAAUGGUUAAAAUGGCAAAUUAUAUAUGUUACACAUAUUUCACCACAAGUAUAAUACUAAAUUUAAAAAGAACAGAAAGAGUUUAAAAUGACUUCAACUACAUCUUCAUAUUUAUUCCUUUUCCUAAUUUAAGAGGGAAAUAAUUUCAGUUCCCCAGAGUUCUGUGUUUCUGGUAUUUUAAUGUGGAAUAAAAUGUUACCAACUCGUUUUUGCUUCUAUUAAGAUCUCGCUCUUGGUAGGCCACUGGCUUUGAGAAACAUCUUGUGUCUUUGAAUUCAGAUAAAAUAGAGUUACAGCUAAUUACAUCUUGGAUUUGUUUUACAAUUACAAAUAUAGAAGGUAGAUGAAGAAAAAUUAUGUUCCAAUCUUUGAAAACUGCCAUUUGGAAGAUUGUCUACAUGAUGGUUUACAUUAAAGGUGCAAUAUUAGCAUGGCUUUUUAUUACUAAAUAUAUUUUAAAAUAUACAUUUGGGCAUUAACUUUAAGAUACUUAUAAAAUAUUUUCUUAUUUGCUAAAGCGAAUCCCUUUGAUUUAUAAUAUACUUCUUGUCCAUUUAUAAAUAUUUAAUGAAACCUUACUCUUUUUUUUGCUUUUUAUGGUGCAUAAAAUAGAUUGAUAGUGUCUCAAAAGUUUUUUUAUUUUUCCAUUUUCUGUUAUAAAAAUAAUCAUGAAUACCUUUAUGUGUCAAAAUUUCAAGCCAAUACUACUGAAGUGAGAAUAAUUUUUCUACUUUUUAAAAGAAAAGUCACAAUCGUCUGUCAAGUGUUUUAAAAUUCAGAUUCUCAUUCAAAAAUUUGCAUGAGAUUUAUUUUAAAACAGUUUUUUUUCUUCCCAAGAUGAUAGUAAAAGAUAGGAGAGAAAAGAAAGAAAAGAUGGUAAAAGAUGAUGGUAAAAGACACGGCUUGACGCACCUACACAUACGCUGAUAGACUAUAGAGCACCUUAAUUUUUUUCCCUUUUUGAUCUCCUCACCUUUUUUUUUUUUUUUUUGAGAUAGAGUCUCACUCUGUCACCCAGGCUGGAGUACAGCAGCGCGAUCUCGGCUCACUGCAACCUCCGCUUCCCGGGUUCAAGGGAUUCUUCUGCCUCAGUCUCCUGAGUAGCUGGGACUACAGGCAUGCAC